rnacentral:rRNA from 1 species
AGUAACGGCGAGUGAAAAGGGAUGAGCCCAGCGCUGAAUCUCUCGGUCUAAGGCCGCUGAGAACUGUAGCGUAUAGGUUUGACUAUCUGUUUGCUAUGUAUUCUCCAAGUUCCUUUGAUAGGGGCUAGUUCAGUCCCGAGAGGGUGCUAGACCUGUGCGAGAAUUGUAGUGAGCAGUUGGUUGUUCCUUGGAGUCGUGUUGCUUGUAAGUGCAGCAUAAAGUAGGUGAUAGACUUCAUCUAAGGCUAAAUAUAACCUUGAAUUCGAUAGCUAACAAGUACCGCGAGGGAAAGUUGCAAAGAACUUUGAAGAGAGAGUUCAAGAGAACGUGAAAUCGCUGGAGUAUGCGGAGAGAGUUGACGUAACCCGGUAGCUAAGUUGUUCUUCGGAGCGAUGGUGCUGCUUAUGGUUGCAUUGGUGGCGUUGGUUUACGACGACAGCUGCGUAGUUUAGCCCACUUCGGUGGUGUCUAUCUUGUGGUCUUGUUGUUGUCAGCUAGCGUGUAAGCCCUGUUCAC